rnacentral:lncRNA from 10 species
CCAGGCUUGUACACUUGCUGUUUCUGUUUGGAAUGCUCUUCCUCCAGGUUUCUGUAUGCAUCAUCCCUAAAUGCCUCAAGCCUCUGCUCUAAAGUCAUGGAGGUCUUCCCUGAACACCUGUCUAAGAAGACUGUGCAUGCUUCUAAUAAAAAUUUGGAACCAAAAGAAGUUUAAAAAGCCGAAAGUGACUAAGUGCUGCUAUCCCAUGCCCCAAAGGUGCUUGGUUAUGUGCCAUCCUUUCAACAAACACAUAUAAUAAGCCAGCAUUAUGCACUAUGGAACUAGAGAUAGAGCCAUGAACAAAAGAGGUAACUCUUCCACUCUUAUGAAACUCUUUCUUUUCUUUUUCAAAUCACUAUCAAAAGCCUUUCAUUCUGAUAUAAAAUCCUGUAUGUAUCCUGGCAGGCUUUCAAAUUUAUAUUUAUACUGACCUUCAUGCUUUUAUUCUUGCAUUCAUCUGUCAUCUUCUUGACAAUUCUCCAUGAAAGUAGAGACAAUAGAAGGUAAAGGCUAAGAACACAGGUUUAUAGUGAGACAGACUGGGGUUCAAAUUCUGGCUCAGCUAUGUUUAUCACUUUUGUGCUAAGUAGUUUACCUACGUCAUUUUAAACUCAAAAAGUAC